rnacentral:rRNA from 1 species
CGAAAGGCGUAGGCGAUGGACAACAGGUUGAUAUUCCUGUACCACCUCCUCACCAUUUGAGCAAUGGGGGGACGCAGGAGGAUAGGGUAAGCGCGGUAUUGGAUAUCCGCGUCCAAGCAGUUAGGCUGGGAAAUAGGCAAAUCCGUUUCCCAUAAGGCUGAGCUGUGAUGGCGAGCGAAAUAUAGUAGCGAAGUUCCUGAUUCCACACUGCCAAGAAAAGCCUCUAGCGAGGUGAGAGGUGCCCGUACCGCAAACCGUCACAGGUAGGCGAGGAGAGAAUCCUAAGGUGAUCGAGAGAACUCUCGUUAAGGAACUCGGCAAAAUGACCCCGUAACUUCGGGAGAAGGGGUGCUCUGUUAGGGUGCAAGCCCGAGAGAGCCGCAGUGAAUAGGCCCAGGCGACUGUUUAGCAAAAACACAGGUCUCUGCGAAGCCGUAAGGCGAAGUAUAGGGGCUGACGCCUGCCCGGUGCUGGAAGGUUAAGAGGAGCGCUUAGCGUAAGCGAAGGUGCGAAUUGAAGCCCCAGUAAACGGCGGCCGUAACGAUAACGGUCCUAAGGUAGCGAAAUUCCUUGUCGGGUAAGUUCCGACCCGCACGAAAGGCGCAACGAUCUGGGCACUGUCUCAACGAGAGACUCGGUGAAAUUAUAGUACCUGUGAAGAUGCAGGUUACCCGCGACAGGACGGAAAGACCCCGUGGAGCUUUACUGCAGCCUGAUAUUGAAUGUUGGUACAGCUUGUACAGGAUAGGUAGGAGCCUUGGAAACCGGAGCGCCAGCUUCGGUGGAGGCAUCGGUGGGAUACUACCCUGGCUGUAUUGACCUUCUAACCCGCCGCCCUUAUCGGGCGGGGAGACAGUGUCAGGUGGGCAGUUUGACUGGGGCGGUCGCCUCCUAAAAGGUAACGGAGGCGCCCAAAGGUUCCCUCAGAAUGGUUGGAAAUCAUUCGCAGAGUGUAAAGGCACAAGGGAGCUUGACUGCGAGACCUACAAGUCGAGCAGGGACGAAAGUCGGGCUUAGUGAUCCGGUGGUUCCGCAUGGAAGGGCCAUCGCUCAACGGAUAAAAGCUACCCCGGGGAUAACAGGCUUAUCUCCCCCAAGAGUCCACAUCGACGGGGAGGUUUGGCACCUCGAUGUCGGCUCAUCGCAUCCUGGGGCUGUAGUCGGUCCCAAGGGUUGGGCUGUUCGCCCAUUAAAGCGGUACGCGAGCUGGGUUCAGAACGUCGUGAGACAGUUCGGUCCCUAUCCGUCGCGGGCGCAGGAAAUUUGAGAGGAGCUGUCCUUAGUACGAGAGGACCGGGAUGGACGCACCGCUGGUGUACCAGUUGUUCUGCCAAGGGCAUCGCUGGGUAGCUAUGUGCGGACGGGAUAAGUGCUGAAAGCAUCUAAGCAUGAAGCCCCCCUCAAGAUGAGAUUUCCCAUUCCGCAGGGAAGUAAGAUCCCUGAAAGAUGAUCAGGUUGAUAGGUCUGAGGUGGAAGUGUGGCAACACAUGGAGCUGACAGAUACUAAUCGAUCGAGGACUUAAAC